rnacentral:rRNA from 1 species
GCAAAACGCGAAGAACCUUACCAAGGCUUGACAUGCAUCUCUAAGCGCGUGAAAGCGCGUGACCCUUCGGGGGAGUUUGUCACAGGUGCUGCAUGGCCGUCGUCAGCUCGUGUCGUGAGAUGUUGGGUUAAGUCCCGCAACGAGCGCAACCCUUGUGACUAGUUGCCAGCACGUUAUGGUGGGAACUCUAGUCAGACUGCCCAGAUCAACUGGGAGGAAGGUGGGGACGACGUCAGGUCAGUAUGGCCCUUACGCCUUGGGCUGCACACGUACUACAAUUCCCAGUACAAUGAGAACCGAGACCGCGAGGUGGAGGAAAUCUAAAAAACUGGGCCCAGUUCGGAUUGGAGGCUGCAACUCGCCUCCAUGAAGUUGGAAUCGCUAGUAAUGGCGCAUCAUCUACGGCGCCGUGAAUACGUUCCCGGGUCUUGUACACACC